GUGUUUAAUGCAUAGUUGGUUUAUGAAGUGUUAUUUAUGCUUUGUUUUUUUUUAUCCCCAGAUAACCAUGGUUGAUAAAUGGUCAGUAGAUGACACGUGCCACUGGCUUCAAACUAUAAACCUCAUUGAUGCAAAAGAAAGUUUCAGAGAGCAACAAAUUGAUGGAGAGACUCUGCUGGGUCUCACAGAAAGGAUGGUGGAAAGACUUUUUCCUGUAAUGAAACAUCAGGUGACAUUUAUGAAGGAGCUUAAUAAGUUAAAAAAGUAAGUCUGUGUUGUUAAAUAUAAAACAAACAAAUGCUAACCAAGCUUAAAAUCCUUAUCUUAAUUUAUAUUUUUAUAUUUCUUCAAACAGCCUGGAAACUGAAGUGCCUCAAAUAUCUCGUACUCAGUAUGUAUCAUUGUUUUGAAUUUUGAACAAACUGUAUUGUGGCAAGUAAAAUGAAAUCCUGUAUAAAAGACUUCAACAUUGUAUUCAUGUUUACAGACAAGAACCCUGUGAGAAUGAGGGCUCAUUUGUUGCCCAACCUUGGCCAGCAGUAUACAACCUGCCUGUAUUUCCCCCUGAACUGCAAGAAGCUUUGCAGAGGAAGGAUCCCGGCUUUAAGAAGAAGGACAAGUCUCACAUCCGUGCAUUACUGAUUCAAGUGUUGUUUGACAGCAUCACUAAGCACACCUGGUACAGUAUUGUAUUUCAUUGUAUUUUAUAAAAGUUAAAUGUAUUUUAUAUUAAAGGGUUAGUUCACCCAAAAAAGAAAAUUCUGUCAGUAAUUACUCACCCUCAUGUUGUUCCAAACCCGUAAGACCUUCGUUCAUCUUCGGAACACAAAUUAAGAUAUUUUUGAUGAAAUCUGACAGCUGGAUCACUCCUCCAUAGGCUUCUAAGGGGUUGAAACUUGCUGGCCCAGAAAAGUUAUUAAAGAGAUCAUUAAUAUAGUCCAAGCAACUACAGUGGCUGAAUCUUUAGUAUAUCAAGGCGACGAGAAUACUUUUUGUGCGCAAAAAAAAAAAAAAAAUACCGACUUUAUUCCACUAUUCAUUUCCUUCUCUCUGGGCCUUGAGUUAGUUCACAUAGUGUUUUUGCGCAGUGCGUCUGUGUUACACGUCACCACCUAGGCUCACUAUUGGCCGACACUGGUCAUGUGUGUGAUGUGUAUGACGUACAACACUGACGCGCUGCGCAAAAACACUACGUGAACUUACUCGAGGCCCAGAGAGAAGGAAAUGAAUAGUGGAAUAAAGUCGUUAUUUUUUAUUUAUUUUUUGCGCA
ensembl:lncRNA